UUUGGGGGGUUGUACCUGACCUGCGGAGGGACAUUACACAAAUAUGAAGGCGGGCUGGAACCUCUCGGGGUUACAGCCUUGCUGAAUUAUUCACCCUUGUCUUUUGCGUACUUCUUGUUUCCUUGGUGGGUUCGCCCACCACUAGGACAAACAUAAACCUUUUGUAAUUGCAAUCAGCGUCAGUAACAAAUUAAUAAUUACAACUUUCAACAACGGAUCUCUUGGUUCUGGCAUCGAUGAAGAACGCAGCGAAAUGCGAUAAGUAGUGUGAAUUGCAGAAUUCAGUGAAUCAUCGAAUCUUUGAACGCACAUUGCGCCCUUUGGUAUUCCAAAGGGCAUGCCUGUUCGAGCGUCAUUUGUACCCUCAAGCUUUGCUUGGUGUUGGGCGUCUUGUCUCUAGCUUUGCUGGAGACUCGCCUUAAAGUAAUUGGCAGCCGGCCUACUGGUUUCGGAGCGCAGCACAAGUCGCACUCUCUAUCAGCAAAGGUCUAGCAUCCAUUAAGCCUUUUUUUCAACUUUUGACCUCGGAUCAGGUAGGGAUACCCGCUGAACUUAA
rnacentral:rRNA from 1 species